GAUGAACGCUGGCGGCGUGCCUAAUACAUGCAAGUCGAGCGAACGGACGAGGCGCUUGCUUCUCUGAUGUUAGCGGCGGACGGGUGUGUAACACGUGGAUAACCUACCUAUAAGACUGGGAUAACUUCGGGAAACCGUAUCUAAUCCCGGAUAAUAUUUUGAACCGCGUGGUUCAAUGGUGAGAGACGGUCUUGCUGUCUCUAAUCGCUGGUUCCGCGCUGCAUUAGAUAGUUGGUACGGUAACGGCUUACCAAGGCAAGGAUGCAUGGCCGACCUGAGAGAGGGAUCGCCCACACGGGAACUGAGACACGGACCAGACUACUACGGGACGCAGCAGUAGGGAACCUGCCGCAGUGGGCGAAAGCCUGACGGAGCAACGCCGAGUGAGUGAUGAAGGUCUUCGGAUCGUAAAACUCUGUUACUAGGGAUGAACAGAUGUGUAAGUAAAUGUGGCCAGAUUGACGGUAACUAGUCAGAAAGCAACGGCUAACUACGUG
rnacentral:rRNA from 1 species